rnacentral:lncRNA from 1 species
UACUACUCAUACUGAUCAAAGUCACUCAGUUGGGAUGGGUGGGAGUAGGAGGUUUGUGGGGUGGCUUGUGCGGAGGAGUUGGCAGCUUCUUUCCAGGACCUGGUUGCUUCUCUGCUGGAGUUGAAGGAGGCUUAAUCUUCCGAGGUGGCUUGUAUGAGUCUUCAGCAUUCUCAGCUGGAGGGUGACCAGGGUUGUGACCAUAAUGUGGUGGCUUCUCUCCCUUAGGUGGUUUGCCAACUGGGGUUGGUGGCUUGUAUGAGUCUUCAGCAUUCUCAGCAGGAGGGUGACCAGGGUUGUGACCAUAAUGUGGUGGCUUCUCUCCCUUAGGUGGUUUGCCAACUGGGGUUGGUGGCUUGUGUUCUGGGAGUGGCUUCUCCCCCUUGGGAGGUUUUUCCAAUGGGGUUGGUUUGUGUUCAGGAGGUGGCUUCUCCACUGGAGGCUUGUGUUCAGGAGGUGGCUUCUCCACCGGAGGCUUGUGUUCAGGUGGUGGCUUCUCCACCGGAGGCUUAUGCUCUGGUGGUGGCUUCUCGAAUGGGGGAUGCUUAGGAUAAUCAGCAAGUGAGGGGGCGGUGAGAACCACCAGGCCAAGCAACACCACUAGCAAAUAUGUAGGAGACAUCUUUGGGUUUGGGCUCAGAUGGUGCAAAACUAGGAGAAUUGGCUAGCCUUUUAUAGCGGAUCGUACCCAAUAAUGAAAUGACACGUGUCAUUAUGACCCAUGUGUAAUGGGGUCGAUUUGGGUCCUACAGUGUUGAAAACUUCGACAUCCACUUUUGGCCUUUUGCUUUCUCUACAGCCGCCUUGCUUUUUCCCUCUUUCCUUUUGUUUUCCUCCUGCCCCAUUCUAUCAACUAAACACAAUUAUGUAGUUGUUUAAUUCUUAAAUGAGAUAUUAUCCGUCAAUCGUAUUAUAUUUUAUCAAGAGAGAACGGAGUGCAAUGUGGCUGUAAUUUUAUCGUUUAGUUUUAUCUCUUGGACCACUGCAUUUUUGUUAAGAGGUGCAAUAAUACACGUCUUUAUCUGCCAUUCAAUAUUUACAGUAAAGAGAGGGCACAAAACUCUUCACUUCGCACCAUAAUUAUUUUGUUUUCUGGACACCCCGGGGCCCUUUGGUUGGUUUGGGGGUCAGAAAGUGAACAUCAUAGGGGGUUUUUCCCUUAUGUGCAUUUGUAUCUGAUGGCUUUAACUCGCCUUGUUACUACAAAGAAACUGUCACAGAUAGGAACUUAUUCCAGGCUGAGUAUCUCCUCAUAGACCCUAUAAAAGAAGACAAGUCAUAAUGAACAUCUAACCUUUGUUCAAUUUGAUUCAAUGCCCCCAUUGUGUCCAUCUCACAAAUCUGAAUUAUUAUAUCCAUUGAAUACAUAAAUUAAUGAAGAAAAUAUGAAACCCAAGAUACAUCUCUGCACAACCUCAACCCUGGUUGCUAUGUUUCCCUUCUAUUCACAUGAUUUGAUGCUAAUUGCCAAACUUGCAACAAGCCCUGAGUUUGACACCUAGUAUCGAUGGGCGAAUUUAAAGUCUCCUCCAAACAUAUAUUCCACAGCUUGAAGCUCACAGAAGAUGUUACAGGCAGGGAAAAACCUUCAGAGUUCGCUACCAAAGAUAAUUAUUAAGGAGAUAUCACAAAGAGAAUUCCAAGGGGUCUGAAUCAAAGACAAAUUGGUCGUUCGUGGGGGUUCUUACUUUCUUUUGGGUAUAACUCACUGAGGGCACUGUCUUUGUUAUUUGCAUUUCACAUUUAGAGUUCUGUUCUGGAAACAUAUAAAAGGAGCAUCAUUUUGUUCUUGGGUAACCCAUAGUCGUGAGUGGGUCCAUUUGCAUGCUACUUAGUUGAAAAGUUGGACCAUUUGCUCCGACGCCUACCUCCCGGAUUCCAUGCUCGGAUAAAACAAGAAUAAAAAAAAUAUUUAUAAUUUACAAAUGGGGGAAAGAAAAAAAUGUCAACAACAAACCAGGAAAAAAGAGUAGUAAAAUUCAUGUCACAUGCUAGUGAGAGAAGGGGUUGUUACACUCACUCGAAGUUCUUUCCAAAAUAUCGCAUGGUAUUUUAUUUUAUGUGUCAGCGCAGUUGUGAAUGGAACGUGCAAAAGUCCAAAUUGGCGUUUUUCCUUUUCCCGUGUAGGAUGGCGACCUUUAAUAAAUAUUUAAAACAAAAAACGAAAAAAAGGAGGGAAAAGGGAUCAGAAAAGAUAAAACAAUGUGUACAAGAGCUCAAUUAGUUUGCAAAUUACUGUUUGGAUUUUGAUAGUAUUUUAUUUGUCCAUCUAUAUUUGAUGGAAAAGAGAAUUUAAGAUAUUUCUGAAACAAAAGCAUUAGUGUAAAACUAAAUUAAGGUAUAAUUAAGUUAGUUCAAUGCAUUAAUUUAAGAAACUUGAUCUAUCCAAAGUACAAAAUUAGAUGAAAUCCAUUUCAAUGGUUAAAAUGAUCAAAAUCAAACUUUUUCUAAGUAUUUUUUAAAAGCAUCAAUAUUAAAAGACAAUUUUAUAUUUAGUCGGAGUUUGGACAAAACCAAAAAGCACACAAAAUCCAAGCGACCAUCUCUAGCUUGGAUAGUCACUUGAUCCCACCUAGAGAUGUGCAUGAGUAAAAGGAUUUGAAAAUGGAAAUUGACUAAAUAUUUAGUUGAUCAAUUAAAUUUGCAAUGUCAUAUGCAAUCCUAAUAGCUAGUCAUCUAAUCAAUUAGGUAGUCAAUCAAGUGUUUGUAAUGACUAUUUUGUACAAAAAACCACAUGUAUAGUUAAAUAUAAUGCAUUUCAUUUAUAAAUCUUCUAAUUCUUGAAUAACGAUCCUAUCAUCCUUUGAAAAUUUUUAUUACACCUUUUUUACUUUUGUUCUAAAACUUACAUAUCACCCUUAAUUGUACCAUGAGAACCUAGCUAUUUUUUUUUUUUUUGUAAUUCAUCAAAGUUAGCUUUUGUAUUCAUUGUUGUAUUAUUUUUAGUAUAACUUAGAAAGCUAGUGUUUUCAAGUGAGUAAAAUUAACUUGUAAAUAUUGUAAAGAUUCAUUGAUAUGUAUCUUAAACUAAGUGUACAAAUUAAAACAUUUGCUAGUAGAUUUUCUCAAAAUUUAGAAUAGAGCUUGAGGCUAUUGAAAUAGGUGGGGUUACACCAAACCACAUCACAUCGUUGUUUGCACCUUUUUUCACUCUCUUUUACUUAGUUUCUCUAUAUUUGUUGUCUAGUAAUAUCCUAUAGGCUUGAUGGGUUAGGGAGCAUCCCUUUGUGAAAAAAUUUCAUUCAAUUCUUAGUUGUAUUACGCAUAUAUAAAAUGCCUCAUUGUUUUAAUGGUAUUCAGUCGUGGCAUCACAGAUAUGGGCAUCUAAAUUUUAAAAGUUUGAAACUUUUGUAAAGCAUGUUGAUAAAAUCCAUGAGAGUUGUGUACUUGGGAAGCAACAUCGAGGUGACUUUAUUUUUUUUUCCUUUUAUAAUGCCACACCUAAGUCCGGUUUCUAAAUGCUAAAGUGAAAGGGUAGGUAUGGACCAUUGAAAUGUGAUCACAACUUUUGGCCUUUUCCUUUCUCUGCAGCCAUGUUGUCUCUUUUUUCUUUUGCAUGAUUUUCUUACCAAAACAGAAUCAUAGACUUGUUUAGUCUCUAAGCUACUAUAUUAUAUCUCGGUGGACUUUUAAGAGUGCAACCGACAUAGAGCACAUGCAAGUGGGCAUAUGGGACAUGAAAUUUCUUCUUACAAAGAUUGCAUGAUUUUUAUAUUAGAGUUGUUCACGUGCAAUGUAUUUAGCUUGUUUUGCAGUUAAAUUAAUUGGAUAAGUAAACAUUGGCAUUUCUAAAUCGACUGUGAAGUGCUUCAUGUACGUGUAAAGUAUUAGAAAUUUCUUUCUUGGCAACUUGUUUUUUCCUUGCCAUCUACUGGUAGGUUUGACUAAAAUUAUAUUCCCUGUCAUGCUAAUUAAUUUUCAUGUGCAUGCUCAAAAGAAGAGUAUGACCUUAGUGCACCAAAAUCACUUUGAUUAAUUUGUGAUAGGUUUUUUUGCAUCAUUUAGAUAAUGUUUAGUUCUAAGAAAAAUUUAUAUAAAAAUGGUUUAUUUAUCUUACAUAUAUAUAUAUAUAUAUAUAUUUUUUUUUUUUUCAUUUUUUUUUCUUCUAUUUUAUUUAUUUAUUUUAUUUUCCUUAUGUUUUCCUCACAUUUUCCGGAACUAAACAUAGUCUUACGAAAUCAACAAUUGCCUUCAACUGAGUAGAUUCUGUUGUUUUAGCAAUGUUAGGCUGCUAACUUGUGGUGGUACGAACCAAAUGACCCAUGUUAAUCUUGGCUUGGUUUGAUUUGGCUCUAUCUCAGAGAGCUAAAGGAUCACGUCAACUCUGGUUUCUACUAUUCAGGUCCAUUCCCAGAUGAACUGGUUCAAAUUUGAGAAAAUGGUAACAGACCUUUAGUGAUGUUGGUUUGGAGCCAGUUGCCAAACCCGCCCUGAGCUUUACCACUAAUGUCAAGGGAGAAAGCCAUUUGAACAAAAACAAUAGCUUCAAGAGACUGAAUCGUGGAUGAAAUCUGAUCCACAUUUCUUCUCAUUUUGGGAAAAAAUGAGAACUUAACUACAAAGAUUCUACUGCCUCAUUCAUAGUGCUUUUCCUGAUCCAAGGUUGGUUCGUUUCCCAAAUUGUGAGGUGCACGUGCCACUCUCACGCUCAGGAGUGUAUCCACGUGGUGGACAUCAGAUGGUGGCUUAAUAUCUGGUGUCGGUGGCUUUACUUUACUAGGAGAGUAGUGUGUCUUCAUCUCAUUCACUGCCGGAGGGUGGCGUAAGCAGUGACGCUAAGGUGGGGCACAGUCAAUAUCAUUUGCAUUUGACCAUUAUAGUUUUCUCCCGGCUUGAAAGUAACCUUAUCGUGAUAAAGGAUUACUAGCACUAGUUCAGAUGACCGUCAUGUUAAUUCGGACCAUGUUUGUGUCACAUUAUCAGCAACCAUGUGUUUAUGGUUCAUGCUAUCUGCAACUAAACUUGAUAUAUAACCAGGUGAACUUCAAUCAAAAUUCUGGAAGUACUCUUGUGAUAGAUGGUGCCUGUCUGCAGAGUCCAUCAAUUGAAAAAUGGAGUGAGUGUAUCUAUAAGAGGGAAGGCUUGGCAAAUGUUCAGUUUUCUGGGAAUUCAACAAGGAUCUAAAAUAGAUUGUUUUCUUUGCCGACUUCAAUGGUUGAAAUUUGAGAAGAUUGUGUCCACAUAUCACAACUAUUACUGGUCCUUCUGUUGCAAUUUAUCCUGUAAGGCUCUAACAUGUCUUCCAAUUCCCACUUCCCUGUUACUCCAGGAAAGCUAUUUCUGUCAUUGUGAAGAAGAAAAGAGAAUGUACAUAUCGAUGCUUUUAAGUGACUGGAGCAUUCAUAUCAGGUGGUCUGCAGCCAUAUAUGCCACUUUGUGAAGGUUGGAACAGUCAAUCACUAGGCUAUAUAUUGGUGUGGCCCAGCCACUUCAAUCAAGGACAAGUCUUCAUACUUAAAGUCAAAUUCUGCCUUUAGUCUCAUUAUAAAUUGCUGUUUAAAUAUUAAGCAAACUUUUGUUUAAUGCGAUUAAGACAGUACUAACUCAAUACUUGUUCUAUUUUUGGAUGCAAAUGCUUGAUGGUUUCAUCAUUGGAUGGGAUAAAGGUGCAUUCAUGAUUAUGAAUACUUGUAGUUAUAUUUUCAUUCUCUUUUUUCUCAAUGAGACUUGUUGGCACAAUGUUGCUGUUCAGAAACCUACCUCUCCAUGGAAAAUAAGUUGCGAUUGAUAGUACUGGAUAUGUUCAAGAAAGCUAAAUAUAGAUAGCACAAAAUAUUAUCGAUAUAAAUAGCAUUAACAGCGUACGUAUGUCUCAAUGCUCAUCAGCUAUAAGCAUGGGACAAACACUUACUAUGAGCAACUUACGUCAAAAUUCCAGAAUAGGACAUAGAAGUGACAGAUCUAUAUAUAUAGAACACUGCAUAUGAGUCACAAGAAAGGAAAUUACGGGUGCAUAGCAGCUCUUAUUUUACAUACUACUACUCAUACUGAUCAAAGUCACUCAGUUGGGAUGGGUGGGAGUAGGAGGUUUGUGGGGUGGCUUGUGCGGAGGAGUUGGCAGCUUCUUUCCAGGACCUGGUUGCUUCUCUGCUGGAGUUGAAGGAGGCUUAAUCUUCCGAGGUGGCUUGUAUGAGUCUUCAGCAUUCUCAGCUGGAGGGUGACCAGGGUUGUGACCAUAAUGUGGUGGCUUCUCUCCCUUAGGUGGUUUGCCAACUGGGGUUGGUGGCUUGUAUGAGUCUUCAGCAUUCUCAGCAGGAGGGUGACCAGGGUUGUGACCAUAAUGUGGUGGCUUCUCUCCCUUAGGUGGUUUGCCAACUGGGGUUGGUGGCUUGUGUUCUGGGAGUGGCUUCUCCCCCUUGGGAGGUUUUUCCAAUGGGGUUGGUUUGUGUUCAGGAGGUGGCUUCUCCACUGGAGGCUUGUGUUCAGGAGGUGGCUUCUCCACCGGUGGCUUGUGUUCAGGAGGUGGCUUCUCCACCGGAGGCUUAUGCUCUGGUGGUGGCUUCUCCACCGGAGGCUUAUGCUCUGGUGGUGGCUUCUUGAAUGGGGGAUGCUGAGGGUAAUCAGCAAGUGAGGGGGCGGUGAGAACCACCAGGCCAAGCAACACCACUAGCAAAUAUGUAGGAGACAUCUUUGGGUUUGGGCUCAGAUGGUGCAAAACUAGGAGAAUUGGCUAGCCUUUUAUAGCGGAUCGUACUCAAUAAUGAAAUGACACGUGUCAUUAUGACCCAUGUGUAAUGGGGUCGAUUUGGGUCCUACAGUGUUGAAAACUUCGACAUCCAGUUUUGGCCUUUUGCUUUCUCUACAGCCGCCUUGCUUUUUCCCUCUUUCCUUUUGUUUUCCUCCUGCCCCAUUCUAUCAACUAAACACAAUUAUGUAGUUGUUUAAUUCUUAAAUGAGAUAUUAUCGGUCAAUCGUAUUAUAUUUUAUCAAGAGAGAACGGAGUGCAAUGCAGCUGUAAUUUUAUCGUUUACUUUUAUCUCUUGGACCACUGCAUUUUUGUUAAGAGGUGCAAUAAUACACGUCUUUAUCUGCCAUUCAAUGUUUACAGUAAAGAGAGGGCACAAAACUCUUCACUGCUCUGCAUGUGUCCCAAAAAUGCGAUUGGACAAAUUAUGAUUUGCAUGCUAAAAAGAGGCAAAUGAGGUUAAUUCGCACCAUAAUUAUUUGGUUUUCUGGACACCAUAAAAAGAUGUUAUACAGGCAGGGAAAAACCUUCAGAGUUAGCUACCAAAGAUAAUUAUCAAGCAGAUAUCACCAAGAGAAUUCCAUAGAGUCUGAAUCAAAGACAGAUUGCUCGCUCGUGGGGGUUCUUACUUUCUUUUGGGUAUAACUCACUGAGGUCACUGUCUUUUUUAUUUGCAUUUCACAGUUAGAGUUCUGCUCUGGAAGGUUUGUUCUGGAAACAUAUAAAAGGAGCAUCAUUUUGUUCUUGGGUAACCCAUAGUCGUGAGUGGGUCCAUUUGCAUGCUACUUAGUUGAAAAGUUGGACAAUUUGCUCCGACGCCUACCUCCUGGAUUCCAUGCUCGGUAAAACAAGAAUAAAAAAAAAUAUAUAAUUUACAAAUGGGGGAAAGAAAAAAUGUCGGAAAAAAUAGUAAAAUUCAUGUCACAUGCUAGUGAGAGAAGGGGUUGUUACACUCACUCGAAGUUCUUUUCAAAAUAUCGAAUGGUAUUUUACUUUAUGUGUCAGCGCAGUUGUGAAUGGAACGUGCAAAAGUCCAAAUUGGCGUUUUUAUUUUUCCCAUGUAGGAUGGUGACCUUUAAUAAAUAUUUAAAACAAAAGACGAAAAAAAAAAGGAGGGAAAAGGGAUCACAAAAGAUAAAAUAAUGUUUACAAAAGCUCAAUUAGUUUGCAAAUUACUGUUUGGAUUUUGAUAGUAUUUUAUUUGUCGUUCUAUAUUUGAUGUAAAAGAGAAUUUAAGAUAUUUCCGAAGCAAAAGCAUUAGUUUGCUCUGUGAUGUCCCACAUCGAAUAGGGGAGAAAGUUUCUGGCGCUAUAUAUGUAGAGGCUCCUCUUAACCAAGUAGAUGCGUUUUAAAACCAUGAGGGCCCCCUUAGGUCCAAAGCGGACAAUAUCUACAUGAUUGGGUGUAAGUCAUUACAAAUGGUAUCAGAGCCGAUCCCCGACCCCGGUGUGGGGGUUUGUUUGGCCCUGUAAGGGGUGUUUGUCUGUUUGACCCCACAAUCCCAUGGGACACAACGAGGACGUUGUGUCUGCAUGGGGGGGCGUUUGUGAUGUCCCACAUCGGAUAGGGGAGAAAGUUCCUAGUGCUAUAUAUGUAGAUGUUUCUCUUAACCAAGUAGAUGCAUUUUAAAAUUGUGAGGGCCUCUUUGGGCCCAAAGCGGACAAUAUCUACAUGGUUGAGUGUAAGUCAUUACAUGCUCCAUGUCAAUUUCAGCAUUUCUCAUAUGUUUCACACAUACACAGAAGAGCAUCGUUUUUUAAAGCAUGCAUUUAUGUUGGAUUAAUUUGGAUUUUGUGGGAACUGGGGCAAGGAUCACAUGGAAGAGAGGUUGACUUUUUUCAGUACUUCAAUGGUUGAAAUAUGUGAAGGCUUGAUUGAUACUAAAGCUUGAAAUUGCGACUCUGUCAUUUGUAAAAAAAUAUGACAGCUUCCAUGCUCUCGUUUGGUUGCAUUGUCCGGUCGAGAGGUGCAAAAAGCAUUCUCUCUCUUCUAAUAGUCUUUUCGUUUAAAUCAAGGGAUUUGCCUUCCCGGUCGAGGUCCAAUAGAGGGUAACGGUCACCUACUAAACAUUAAAUGCUCCAACAACUAGUGAACUGAUCGACCCCAGCUCGACUAGUUGAGGUUACUUUUUGGUUUUCUUGUCUCCCGAGGUUAGAAACCUAUAAAUAGAGAGCUUCACUUCAUUUAUGAGUAAGAGAACACCUAAAUUUAUUUGUUUACCUACUUGUUUUUGCCAUAAAAGCUCUCAUUUCUUUUCUUGGUGUAUUAAAUCUCCAUUUGCAUAUCCUUUAGUGCACCUUUGUGAUUCAUUCUAGCCUUGAGUUGUAUUUAAGCCUUUGUUGAGCUAGGUUGAGAGUUUCAUACUUGUUUAUUGAGUGUUAAAGCCUUCAAGUGAGUUAAAACUUGAAGAGAUUGUGUAAGAGCCCAUUGGAGUCGGAAUCCAAGUGUAAAGGUGAUUAAAAGCUUGGUUGAAGCUUCAAGUUAGUGGAACUCUCACUCGGUUAUGAGCUUGAGAAGAGUGGACAUAGACAAGGCAGUGUCGAACCACUAUAAAAUCUGAGUUUGAUUUCUCUAACCUUAUCUCUUUAUAUUUGCUUCUCUUGUGCUUAAAUUUUUUGUGUUUAAAAAGAAUUUUUAAAAACUCAAUUCACCCCCUUCUUGGGAGUUUUUCUCUUUUAAGAUCAGCUUUUAUUUUCUCAAUUGGUAUCAGAACUAUGCCUCUUGUUUAAGACUUAAUCGUCUAAGAGGAAAUGGCUAAUCCAUCAAGUUCAUCUCACAUUGAAAGUUUUGCAACCAAUAGACUUCUUUUUUUUUUUUUGCGGGAACUGAUUAUCCCUAUUGGAAAACUAAAAUGACUUGGUUUUUACAAUCAAUUGAUUUAGAUGUAUGAGAUGCCAUUGAAGAUGACCUAACUUUUCCUUCAAAACUAGUUGAUGGAGUCAUGGUUCCAAAACCUAAGCAAGAAUGGGAUGAGCGUGAUUGAAGAAAUUUUCAAUUAAAUGCUAAAGUCGUUUAUACUUUGCAAUGCUCUAUGGACAGAAAUGAAUAUAAUAGAAUAUGUCAAUGCAAAUCGGUUAAAGAAAUUUGGAGAUUGCUUGAAAUAACUCAUAAAGGAACAAAUCAAGUUAAAGAGUCAAAAAUCAAUUUACUUGUUCAUAGAUAUGAAUUGUUUUUUAUGAAAGAUAAUGAAACUAUUGUUAAGAUGAUCACUAGGUUCACCAACAUUGUUAAUGGUCUUAAAGCCUUGGGAAAGACCUACAAGGAAUCCGAAAACGUGAUGAAGAUCUUGAGGUCACUUCCAUCAAAGUGGCAUACCAAGGUCACCGCAAUUUAAGAAGCAAAAGACUUGAUCAAGCUACCUUUGGAGGAGUUCAUAGGGUCAUUGAUGACAUAUGAAAUCAAUUUGGCAAAGAAGUAACAAAAAGGUGAAGACAAAAAGAAGAAGAACAUAACUCUCAAAGCUACAACUAAGGAAGAAGAAGUUGAAGAAGAAAAACAAAUUGAAGAAGAUGAAGAUUUAGCCCUCAUCACAAGAAAGUUCAACAAAUUCAUGAGGGGUGAAAGGUUUAGAAGAAGAAGGUUCACUUCUAGAAGAGACUUUUCUAAAAAGGAAUCUUCAUCUAAUGGUGACAAAAAGAGAUGGGAAGAGAAAAGAGACUUGGUGUGUUUCAAGUGCAAGAAACCGGGACACAUUAAAUAUGAUUGUCCUCUCUACAAAAGUGAAGUCAAGAGGAAAAAGAAUAAGGCAAUGAUGGCCACUUAGAGUGAAAGUGAAGAUGAAUCAUCCGAAGAAGAAAAUGAGAAAGAAGUGGCAAACAUGUGUUUCAUGGCAAUAGAUGAACUUGAUGAGGUAAAAUCUAACCUUAGUGAUUAAGAUAUACAUGAUGCAUUUGAAGAAUUGUAUGAGGAUUUUUAAAAACUUAGUUUGAAAAAUAUUUCUCUUAAAAAGAAAGUUCAACAACUUGACAAAGAACUUAGAGAAGUAAAAGAAAAAUUUUCAAAUGUUAAAGUUUCUAAAACUCAUCUUGAAAAAGAAAAUGAGAUUCUAAGAAAGAAAAAUGAAUAGUUGAACUCCUCUCUUUCAAUCUUUUCUUCUAGACAAAAAUCUUUUGAAAUGAUUCUAACUAGCUAAAAAUGUGUUUUUGACAAACAAGGGUUAAGAUUUAAAUCUUCAAAAAAUCAAAAGUAUUUUAAAAACUAUUUUGUAAAGGAAUCCACAAGUGCAAGUCCUUCCACUACUUGCAACUUUUGUGGAAGAGAAUGGCACAUUAGUAGUACGCCCUUUAAGAAAUGGUUCUCAAAAGAAUUUAAAUGCAAAAACUAAAAAAGAUUUGGAUUGAGAAAUCCAAGGUCACUAACCCUCAAGGACCCAAAAAGAUAUAGGUACCUAAAUCAACUUGAGUUUUAUGUUGUAAGGUUCAAAGAAUGAUAAGUGGUUCUUAGAUAAUGGUUGCUCAAGACACAUGACCGGAGAUGAAUCCAAGUUUGCUUUUCUUAAAAAGAAAAAUGGAGGAUAUGUUACCUUUGGAGACAAUGCAAAAGAAAGGAUGAUUGGUCAAGGCAACAUUGGUAAUGGCACAUCCUCUCUCAUUGAAAGUGUUUUAUUAGUAGAUGGUUUCAAACAUAACCUUUUAAGCAUUAGUCAAUUUUGCGACAAAGGUUUUUAAGUGAUUUUUUAAGCAUCUCAUUGCAUCAUCAAGGAUAUUCAAAAUGAUAAAACCAUUUUCAUGGGCCAUAGAUGUGAUAAUGUUUAUGCUAUAAAUAUUUCAAAAUAUGAUGGCCAUGAUAGAUGUUUUUCAAGCAUGCAUGAUCAAAGUUGGUUGUGCCAUAGGAGAUUGAGACAUGCUAACAUAGACCUCAUUUCCCAACUCAACAAAGAUGAACUUGUUAGAGGCCUUCCCAAAAUAAUUUUUUAAAAAGAUAAAGUUUGUGAAGCUUGUCAAGUGGGAAAGUAAAUCAAAAACUCUUUUAAAAACAAAAACUUCAUUUCCACAUCUAGGCCACUUGAGUUGUUGCAUAUGGAUUUAUUUGGUCCCUCUAGGACACCAAGUCUUAGAGGAAAUUCUUAUGCAUAUGCUAUUGUGGACGACUUCUCUAGAUACACAUGAGUCUUGUUUUUUAGUCAAAAGAAUAAAGUUUUUUAUGAGUUUUCAAAGUUUUGCAAUAAGAUUCAAAAUGAAAAAGGUUUUUCAAUUACUUAUAUAAGAAGUGAUCAUGGGAGAGAAUUCGAAAAUAUUGAUUUUGAAGAGUAUUGCAAUGAGCAUGGAAUUGACCACAAUUUUUUGGCUCUUAGAACUCCUCAACAAAAUGGGGUAGUUGAAAGGAAAAAUAGAACUCUUCAAAAAAUGACAAGAACCAUACUAAAUGAAAACAACUUACCAAAAUAUUUUUAGGCCAAAACGGUUAACACUUCUUGUUAUGUUUUAAAUAGAGUAUUAUUGAGGCUCAUACUUAAGAAAACUCCCUAUGAGCUUUGGAAAAACAAAAAACCCAACAUUAGUUAUUCCAAAGUCUUUGGAUGCAAUAUUUUAUAAUAAACACCAAAGACAAUCUUGGAAAAUUUGAUGCAAAAUUGGAUGUUGGAAUUUUCCUUGGUUACUCAACUUCAAGUAAAGCUUUUCGAGUUUUAACAAAAGAACCAUGGUUGUAGAGGAGUCCAUCCAUGUUAUUUUUUAUGAAUCUCCAAGAAAGAGAGAGGAUUGAUGAUGAUUUAGGUUUGAAGACCUCUAUAGGAAGAUUGCAAAUCGAAGAUAGAAGACAACAAGAAGAAAAUGGAGAGAAUCCAAAGAAAGAAGGAUCACCAUUGGCACUACCCCCUCAUCAACAAGCGCAAGGUGAAUCAAGUCAAGAGCUUCCUAAAGAAUGGAAGUUUGUCAUCAAUCACCCACAAGAUCAAAUUAUAGGCAAUCCAUCUAGUGGGGUAAGAACUAGAUCCUCUCUUAGAAAUAUUUGCAAUAAUCUAGCUUUUAUCUCUCAAAUUGAGCCUAAAAAUAUAAAUGAUGUUUUAGAUGAUGAAAAUUGGAUAAUUGCAAUGCAAGAAGAGUUAAAUCCAUUUGAAAGAAGUGGAGUAUGGGAAUUAGUACCAAGACCUUCAAAUCAAAGUGUUAUUGGAACUAGAUGGAUCUUUAGAAAUAAAAUGGAUGAAAAUAGCAUAAUUGUUAGAAAUAAAGCAAGAUUGGUAGCCCAAGGUUUUAAUCAAGAAGAAAUGAUAGAUUAUGAAGAAACCUUUGCCCCCGUAGCUAGGUUGGAAGCCAUUAGGAUGCUACUUGCCUUUGCAUGUUUUAAAGACUUUGUUUUAUAUCAAAUGGAUGUGAAAAGUGCUUUUUUAAAUGGUUUUAUAAAUGAAGAAGUAUAUGUUGAACAACCACCCGGUUUUCAAAGUUUCAACUUUCCUAACCAUGUUUUUAAACUUAAAAAGACACUUUAUGGUUUGAAACAAGCACCUAGAUCAUGGUAUGAAAAAUUGAGUAAAUUUCUUUUGAAAAAAAUGUUUUAAAAUGGGAAAAAUUGACACAACUCUUUUUAUAAAAACCAAAGAAAAUGAUAUGCUCUUAGUUCAAAUAUAUAUUGAUGAUAUCAUUUUUGGUGCUACUAAUGUCUCUCUUUAUGAAGAAUUUUCUAAGUGCAUGCAUAGUGAGUUUGAAAUGAGCAUGAUAGGAGAACUCAACUUCUUCCUUGGACUUCAAAUCAAGCAACUAAAGGAAUGAACCUUCAUCAAUCAAGCAAAGUAUAUAAGAGAUCUUCUCAAAAGGUUCAACAUGGAAGAAGCCAAAACAAUGAAGACUCUAAUGAGCUCAUCCAUUAAGCUUGAUAAGGAUGAGAAAGGUAAAUCCAUUGACUCUAUUAUGUAUAGAGGCAUGAUAGGUUCUUUGCUCUAUUUGACCACUAGUAGACCUUACAUUAUGUAUAGUGUGUGUUUGUGUACUAGAUUUCAAUCUUGUCUUAAAAAAUCUCACUUAAGUGUCGUGAAAAGAAUCCUCAAAUAUUUGAAAGGGACAAUGGACAUAGGCUUAUGGUAUCCUAAGAGUGAUAACUUUGAAUUAAUUGGUUUUUUGGAUGCUGAUUUUGUCAGUUGUAGGGUUGAAAAAUAAAACACUAGUGGCACUUUUCAUUUCUUAAGACACUUACUUGUCUCAUGGCAUAAUAAGAAGCAAAAUUUGGUAGCUUUGUCAACAGCAGAAGCUAAAUACAUAGCAACUGGUUUAUGUUGUGCACAAAUCCUUUGGAUGAAAUAAACACUUAGUGAUUUUGAUUUAUCUUUUGAGCAUAUUCCUAUUAAAUGUGAUAAUAGUAGUGCCAUAAGUAUAUCAAAAAAUCUCGUGCAACACUCUAGGACUAAGCAUAUAGAGAUUAGACAUAAUUUUCUUAGAUAUCAUACACAAAAGGAUGAUAUAACACUUGAAUUUGUAAGCAUAAAAGACCAACUUGCCGAUAUCUUUACAAAACCUCUAAGAACAUUUUGUUGAUAUUAGAGGACAAUUAGGAGUGAUUUCUUUAUGAUCUAAUGUGAUGAAUUCUUGAUGAAUAUACUUUUUGAUUGCAUGAAUUUCAUGUCAUAUAUGCAUCAUAUAGAAAUAUACUUAGAUAAUGGUCAAAUUUCGACCAAAAAUCAAAAUUCCCAUGGCAUUAGGCAUAAAAAUUUUGGAAUUUCAACUGAAAAUGGUAGGAGGAGGAUCACAAAAUGAGAAAGUAUGCAAAAAUUGAAAAAUCAAAACGUUGACCAAGCGGUCAAUCGGACUAGACCGAUCGACUAGUUUGUCGAGAUUUAGGAUUUUUAAGAGACUCCAACGCUUCAAUUUUUGCACCGUUCUCCUCUAUUUCUUCACGGUUUCUCUGAUUUUGUCUUUUAGAGACUAAUUUGAGUGCGUUUUGGAUCAAUUGAAGCAUUUUGGAUUGGAUUUUAGGAAGAUUGAAAGUUAAGGUUUCGGAUUUGGGUCGCCUUCUCUUCCUCUCGCGUGUCACAAUCAGCUUUAGCAUUGUUCUCUUUCCAUUUUCACACACCUAGGGUUUCAGUUGUGAGCAUCUCUCUCUCUUUACCAACCACUACUCCCUUGCUUCUUCCAUAUGGCUCCUAGGCGAGAGUCCGCUACUUCUAGGGCACAAGGCAAGCACCCAACUGAGUCGUCUCAGUCAAAGGCACGUCGAAAAGUGAGAUUUGACAUUGCCUUGUUCAGUUCCAUGGAGGACUACCAACUAUACAAGCAACACUUUGCUUAGAGACGAGUAGUUCCCAAGAGAAAUAUUAAUUUUCCUCAACUUCAGCAUUUCGAAUUUAAGGGUCUAUUUACUAGGAUGGUUGGUUGUCUAUUGUCACAAUUUCGGAGCCGGUUUUCCUGACCUUAGUGCGAGUUUUUUACUCGAGGGCGACUUAUGGCAUGGGUGGCAUGAUCAUUUCUACUGUUGGAGGAGUUGAGAUCUGUCUGGACCCAGAGAGCAUCUGCCAUAUUUUCGAUAUUGCUCUGGUUGGACUCAAAGUAUACAAGUCCAAAAUGUGGCCCAUUGUGCCAGGAUUUGAGCUUAGAGAGGUCAUUCAGAGGAUUUGUGAACUUCCAGACGCCCAGGAGAUGGGCAAACCAUUGCCACACAGUUUGACGGUCAUCAACAGGGUGCUACACCAUAUAUUGUGCUCUAUCUUUCUACCACGAAGUGGACAUUGAGAUGAGGUCUCUUAUUAUGAGGCAUUCCUUAUUGACUCCAUUCUAACGGAGAGACGAAUUCAUCUACUAUGUCAUCAUUCACUAAGCCUCCUCACAGUGACAUACCACCUCAUCAGGCACCUCUUGCUCCUGACCAUGCUCCAUUGAUGGAUUUAUUUACUCAUAUUAGCUCUCUAGGCACUCGCAUGAAGGAGUUUGUUGUAGUUAGUGAUACAUGGUUCUACUCCAUAGAGGAUCGCAUGGAUCAGUAUCAGACUGGCUUCACGUCACAGUUUGAGUAUCUCCAAUAGAGGAUUGAGCAUAUUGAGGAUCACUUGAGCAUGAGAAGAUGAUGGCUUUUCUAUGCUCUGUGUUUCCACCUCCACCUCGUCAACCUUGAUUUCUUAGAGACCCAUUGUUUUCAUUUUGUAAUGUUGCCAAAAGGGGGAGAUAUUUAGGAUCUAGGACUCUAUAGGAGACUUACAUGCAUAUCAUUUUCAUAUCAUUGUUUGGAUCGUACAUAUUGGAUAGUGAUACUUUUUACUUAUAUAUGAUAUGCCUAUAUGUUUCAUGUCUUACAUUGUUUCUUAUUGCAAAUUAUCUCUAACAUGUCUUGAUUAUCUUUUUUUUAACUUCAUAAAUUUUGAUUGUUAACCCAUGAUUGGUUUGAGGGGAAGAUUCUUCUUCUCCUAGAUAACCAAGGUUUGUCAUCAUAAAAAAAUUGGAGAUUGUUAGCCCAAGGGUUCUCCUAAUCAUGUUUUGAUGAUAACAAACCAUGCUUAAGUUACUAAUUGGUUUGAAUUAUAAAGAAUUUCAAGUGUUAAUUUGAAAAUUCAUCAAAGAACCUAAUGGAUGCAAGAUCAAGAUUUUUGGAAGACCUUUAAUCAUAAGAAACAUAUGUAAGAUGAAUGCAUGGGUGCACUUAAGAUUUGCAUAUCAUUUCAUGCAUAUUUGGAAAACACGGUUUAUGCUUUAAAGUUACAUUUCCAUCAAAAUUUGAGAUCCAUCAAAUGAACCUUAGGAAAAAUGUUUUAAAAUUGGCAUAUAAUUUUACCUAAAGACCUUGCCUAAGUGUUAGAAGCAAAAGGACAAAAAAAAUAUAGGUUUUCUGGUCAAAAAUGGUGAACCAGUCAAGGCAUUGUCUAAAUCAGCUCAAUCGGCCAAGGUACCGGUCGAUCGGUUUCCCUUUCCCUGUCGAGAUCUAGUCAAGAGGUACAAAAAUCACAAUCUCUGUCUCUUUCUCUCUUUGUCUAUCUUCCAGUAGUCUUUCCUUCCCGGUCGAGGGAUUUGCCUUCCCGAUUGAGGUCCGAUUGAGAGUAAUAGUCACUUGCCAAAUAUUAAAUGCUCCAACAGUUAGUGAACUGGUCGACCCCCACCUUGCCCAGUUGAGGUUACUUUUUGGUUUUCUUGGCUCCCGAUGUUAGAAACCUAUAAAUAGAGAGUUCCACUUCAUUUAUGAGCAAGAGAACACUUGCAUUUAUUUGUUUACCUACUUGUUCUUGCCUUAAAAGCUCUCAUUUCUUUUCUUGGUGCAUUAAAUCUCCAUUUUGAUAUCCUUUAGUGCACCUUUGUGAUUCAUCUUAGCCUUGAGUUGUAUUUGAGCCCUUUUUUUAGCUAGGUUGAGAGUUUCAUACUUGUUAAUUGAGUGUUAAAGCCUUCAAGUGAGUUGAAACUUGUAGAGAUUAUGUGAGAGUCGAUUGGAGCCGAAAUCCAAGUGUAAAGGUGAUUAGAAGCUUGGUUGAAGCUUCAAGUUAGUGGAAUCCUCACUCAAUUAGGAGCUUGAGGAGAGUGGACGUAGCCAAGGAAGUGUCGAACCACUAUAAAAUUUGAGUUUGAUUUCUCUAACAUUGUCUCUUUAUAUUUGUUUAUCUUGUGCUUAAAUUUAUUGUGUUUAAAAAGAAUUUUUAAAUACCCAAUUCACCCCCCUCUUGGGUGUUUUUCUCUUUUAAAAUUAGCCUUUAUUUUCUCACAAACUAUUGUAGUAUAGUGGUUUUUAGGUGUCAUCCAUUAGGAUGAAUUGUUCUCGGUAAUUAAGGCGUGAAUGAGAGGAGAAUUAAUGAUUGUGAUUAAGUAAAAUUGAUUUGAAAAUUCAUGGUGAAAAAUCAAUUUAACAAUGGUUUCUAAUUGAGAAAAACAAUGAAAUGUGAAAUAAAAUAAAAUUAAUAGGAAAUGAAAUUCUCGAAGUUAGAAUUUUCUAAAAAACAAAUUCCAUGGUGAAUGGAUGUUGAGAUCUAAUUUUCAUCAAGUUAGAUUGAAAACCGAAAUUUUCAUAUAAACUGAUUUUUUAUUUAGUUUUAGGUCUAGAUUUAAUUUCCCUUAAAAUUAGGUUAUUUAAUCCAAGAAAUCAAUUCAAAUCAUAUAUUCAAUUCAUCUUAAAUUAUCUUCCAAUUAUUCACACAAUGCAACUAUUCAAUCUCAUCAAAUCUAGCUUUUAAGAAUUUAAUGAAUCUACCUAGUUUGCAUUGUAAUAGUCAUCCAUGACAAUUUGAAGAGAAAAAUAAUUCAAUUAAUCAAUCACUUGGAUCAAAUUACCUUUGCAAUUAAAGUUCAUUUCUCUAAUUCACCACAGAUUUUGUCUCUAGAUCCUCCUUUCUCAAAGAAAAAUGAGAUUUAGCCACACAUGAUUGGAGAUUUGGUCUCAUAAGGCAUGUUUAGCUAGUGAUAAAAUGAGAGAAAAUAAAGAAAAAUAGAGAAUUCGAUUAAGAAAGAAAAUCUAAAAAAUUCUACAAUUAGAAAUGUCCAAAAAGCUUUUUCAUGAGAAAAUCAAGUUUCUAUUUAUAGGCCAAGGUCAAGUGGACACUUGACAUCAUCUAAGAGGUCUUCCGGAAGCUUCUUCAUCAAGAAAUCUGGAGUUUAAUAAUAAAAUGGUCAUUUCACAAGAGCUCAAACAAUUUCGCAUGAUUAUGUGAAAUAAAAAAUGCAACAACAGCAAUUUACAUCUUCUUGGAGCAUUUCGCAUGACUGUGUGAAAUUUUCACAUGAUCAUGUGGAAUCGACUUGACAACUCUCAUUUAGCCUACAACAUAAUUCCACCUUUUGGUCCAUUUUUCAUAGUCAUGCGAAAUGGAAAUAUUUGAUUUUUAAGUUUUCUUUUGUCAUUUCUUUCAUUUCCUUCUCUUGAUUCCACUUCAACUACCUCCGAAUCCUGGUCCAAACCAAUUGCAUUACUUCUUUCAUUAUGCAUUUGGAUCAUCAUCAACAUUAUUUGUUCUCUUCAAUUUGAUUCAUCUCUUUUGUCACCAAUUUAUCAAAAUCAUACCUUGAAAUGACUCCAAAACUUCAUAAAACUUGUUAGUAACUCUUGCAAGGGCAACAACAUAUUAAUUAAGUGUUUUAGGCAUAGUUACUACUCAAAAGAUGCGAAACUCAUGAUAAUUAUUAUAUAAAAUAUGCUCUUUUUGAGUAGUAAUCAACUUUCUUGCAUAAGCAGACCUUUUAGGGUGGAGUACUAAAGACCAAUAUGCUUGUCCUUGUUGUAAUAAAGAAACUUGCUCUUAUUGAUUGCACCAUGGGAGAAAAUUUUGCUACAUGAGUUAUCAUCAAUUUCUUCCCACCAAUCAUAGAUUUAGACGUGACAAGAGGCCUCUUAAUGGCAAGGAGGAACUGACACUCACACUUAUACAAUUAUCGGGCAUUGAUGUGUUGCAACAAUUAGAAUAACUUACACCAAUUAUGUUGGGGAAGUCACAAAAGGCAAACAUGAAAACUAAAAGGAAAAAAGAAAAAUGUUACAUAUCACCACAACUGGAAAGAAAAAAGUAUUUACUUUCAUUUGCCAUAUUGGAAAGCACUUAUUUUACAUCAUAAUAAUUUAGACAUAAUGCAUAUUGAGAAAAAUGUGUGACAAUAUAAUUGAGACAUUGUUCAGUAUUGACGAAGAAACAAGGACAACCUAAAUAGUCAUCUCGAUUUACAAGCUCUAACUAUUAGAAAUGAGAUUCACCCAAUAGAAAGCAGGACCAAAUUUAUUUUGCUUGCAACAUGCUACUCACUCACCCCAAAUGAGAUUAAGGAAUUUUGCAAGUUUUUGAAAUCAAUAAAGGUCCCCAAUGGCUAUUCUUUCAAUAUCUCUCGUUAUGUGCAACUCAAUGAAAGGAAGAUAUAUGAGCUCAAAUUGUAUGAUUGUCAUGUCCUAAUGCAACAACUUCUCUCACUUGUAGUUCGUGGAGUUCUACAUAAGAAUGUUUGUGGAGUUAUCAUAGAAUUGCGUAAUUUUUUCAAGCAAUUGUGCUCAAAGGUGUUAGAAACAAAUCACUUACACCAACUUGAGAACAAUAUUAUUGUCAUACUAUGUAAAAUGGAGCAAAUAUUUCUUCCAUCAUUCUUUGAUAUUAUGGUGCAUUUACUUGUGCAUCUAGUAAGGCAAAGGUUGCAAGACUUGUGCAAUAUUGUUGGAUGUACCUAAUUGAACGAUAUUGUUAUAAUUUCAUAUGAAUCAUUUAAUUUUAUUUUAUAUUAUGUUCAGUUCAUUAACAUGUACAUUGGUCUACAUAUGGAUGAUGAUAGGUACCUAAGCACUUUAAAGUCAUAUGUGCGUAAUAGAACUUUUCUAGAAGGUUCUAUUGUAGAAAGGUACCUUGCAAAAGAAUGUACAACAUUUUAUUCUAGGUACUUGAAUGAUGUGGAAAUAAAGUAUAAUCACAAUGAUAGAAACUUUGUUGGUUUCAACACUAGAGGAGAUGAAAGGGGUUAUCUUUAAACAUAUUGGACAUGCAUUGGGAAAGCCCAUAUUUCAUUAACUUAGUUCAAAAGAGUGGUCACAAGCACAUUUAUAUGUGUUGACAAAUUGCGAAGAUGUCAUACCAUUCAUUGAGUAAAAAAUUUAUUUGAAUUUUAAUUAAAGCUCUAGUUUAUAUCCUUAAUCAAUGUUUUUUAAAUUCACAAGGAGCACAAGCAAACCAUCAAGGCUAGACCACAUAUACGUGUUUGAGACGUAGAUUUAAUUCAUAACAAGGAAUUUAUCAAGUGGUUUGAAAGACAUGUAAGUAUAUUCCUUAUUAUAAGGGAUUUAUUUCACAUUAUGUUUAUAUUGAAUCCAAACCUAUUAUUGAAUUGUAGGUUGAACAAUUACAUAAUGAAGGUCAUAUAUCUGAACACCUUCUCACAUUAUCAUGUGUUCCAAAUUCAUUAGUUACAUGCUUCAAAUGAUAUAUUGUCAAUGGAUUUAGAUCCCACAUUAAAGAACGUGAUAAAAAAGUUUUUAAAAAAAGACUCAGAAUAAUGGAAUUGUUGUAGUUGCAAAAACGUCAAGCUUUACAAGUGCAUGUGAUAUGAGUCCAAUUAUUAGUGAUGCUCUCUACUAUGGUGUUCUAACUAAAGUUGUUGAGUUACAUUAUCUUGGUGAAAAUAAGGUUGUUUUAUUCGAGUUUGAUUGGUGGGAUGUUACAAAUAUUGGAAAAUUGAUAAAAGAUGAUGAGUACAAUUACACAUUUGUUAACUUUGCAUGAAUUCUAACCACGAACGAACGAUUUGUACUUGCAUCUCCAGCAAAGUAAGUGUUCUAUGUGAAGAAUGCGAAUGAAUCAGAUUGGCAUACUAUCAUGGAGAUGCAACCUCAAGACCUCUAUAAGAUGAACGGGAUAGGAUCCAAUGGUGAUUUUGAACCAUUUCAACAAAGUGAACUACAUGAUCACUAAUAUAUCUCAGAUUUAGUUGAUGAAGAUAUAAUCAAGUGGAACAAAAGUGAUGUUUUAGGACUAAUCAUCCUAAAAAAUAUUGUAGUUUCUUAAAAAAAAAAUGAAAAUGAAGAAGAUAAUUGAACCUUUGUCAUACUUUAAAAAGCAACUAUGCAUUGUUCAUUUUGUAUGUUUUGGUUUUCUUCAUUUAAUUUCCUGAUUUUUGUGAUUCAAUGUCAUAUUAUUGAUCUUGAAAUAUUUUUCUAAUUUUUCAUUCUACGAUGGUUUCAACAAGGAUGACAUCAAGUCAAAAAAGGAAAUGUGGUCCCACACACAAUAUUGCAUUACAGGGAUUAAGGUCAGGGAAGAAGGUAAAAGUUGCAUUUAAUGAGUACAAUCAAUUGGUUAAACAGAAAAAUGGAAAACACUUAUCGAGCUACAUAGGGACACUUGUAUCUAACCAACACAAUGUACCUCUCCAAGCUAGUGAUUGGAAAAAUGUUCCAAAUGAUGCAAAAGAGAAAGUAUGGCCUUUGUUUUGGUAUGUUGUAUUUCUCACUAUAUGAUGUCAUUUCACUGUUAUUCUAUUUUGUGACUAACGUUUGAAUCAUAUGUAAGAAAAAUUUGAAGUAGAUAAAGACUGAAAAGAUUACAUGUUGGGUAUAGCCUCAAAUAAAUAUAGAAGCUAUAAAAAUAUGAUGAAUGCAAAAUACUAUGACCCUUGGCAUAAGGAUGCAUGAGGAGAGGUUAAUACAUAAAUCACCAUUUGUCUCUGAUGUUGAUUGGAAGUGGCUUGUCUCUGAUGCAUAAACCAAAUCCCCCACUGAAUGUUUGAUAUUUGAUAGCAGGAAAAACACACCCGCAGCUAUACACCUCCAUCAUUCAGAUAAUUAUAGUGGGGGAGAUGAUUCAUGGUUGCCCUUAUACCCUUUAUUUGCACCAUCUAUUGAGAUUCUUUAUCAUGGCCAGGUUUUACUGCAGCAAUAAGAUAUGGUGGCAACAAUUUUAUCUAUAGGUGCGGUUCCAGACCGCCUCCAUAGGUGCGGUUCCUGACUGCCUCCAUAGGUGCCUCUUCUUGUAAUGUUUGUUCUGGGAAUUACACUUGAAAGCCUUAUCGUGAUAAGGGAUUACAAACACUAGUUCAGAGGACAGCCAUGUUAAACUUCCACUAUGUUUGUGUCACAUUAUCAGCAGCCUAGUGUUUAUUGGUCAUGCUAUCUGCAACUAAUAUAACCCGGUGAACUUCAAUCUAAAUUCUGAAAGUACUCAUGUGACAGAUGGUGCCUUUCAGCAGAUAUCAUCAAUUUAAAAGUAGUGUGUGUGCCUAUAGGUGGGAAGGCCUUGGCAAAUGUUCAGUAUUCCGGUAAUUCAAGAAGGAUAUAUCUAAAAUAGAUUUUCUUCUUGCCCAUUUCAAUAGUUAAAAUUUGAGAAGAUUGUGUCCACAUCACACAAAUAUUAUUGGUCCUUCUGUUGCAAUUUACCUCUGAACAUGUCUUCCAAUUCCCACGGUCCUGUUACUCCAGGAAAACUAUUUCGGUCAUAUUGAAAAAAAAAAUAUUAAAGAAGGUACACAUGCUUUUAAGUGGACUGGGGCAUUCAUAUCAGGUGGUCUGUAUCCACAUAUGCCACUUCGUGAAAGGUGGAACAGCCUAAUCACUAGGCUAUUUAGUGUGGCCCAGCCACGUUAAUCAAGCACAAGUCUUCAUACUUAAAGUCAAAUGGUGUCUUUAGUCUCAUUACACAUCGCUAUUUGAAGAUUAACUCAUCACUAGUGUAAUGCGAUUAAGACAGUCCUAACUCAAUAUUUGUUCUAGUUUUGGAUGCAAAUGCUUGCUGGUUUCAUCAUUGGAUGGGAUAAAGGUGCAAUCAGGACUAUGAAUACGUGCAGUAAUACUUCAUUCUCUUUUUUCUCAAUGAGACUUCUUGGCACAAUUUUGCUGCUCAGCAACCUACCUUUCCAUGGAAAAUCAGUUGUGACUGAUAGUAAUGGAUAUAUUCUAGAAAGCUAAACAUAGAUAGCAUUCAAUAUUAUCGAUAUAACAUUAACAGCGUAUGUCUCAAUGCUCAUCAGCUACAAGCAAUGGACAAACACUUUGAGUAACUCACAGCAGUCAAAAUUCCUAAACAGGACAGACGUGACAGAUCUAUAUAUAGAACACUGCAUAUGAGUCACAGGAAAAGAUAAUACGGGUACAUAGAAGCUCUUAUUUUACAUAUUACUCAUACUGAUCAAAGUCGCUCAGUUGGGAUGGAUGGGAGAAGGAGGUUUGAGGGGUGGCUUGUGCGGGGAAGUUGGCAGCUUCUUUCCGGGAGCUGGUUGCUUCUUUGCUGGAGUUGAAGGAGGCUUAAUCUUCCGAGGUGGCUUGUAUGAGUCUUCAGCAUUCUCAGCAGGAGGGUGACCAGGGUUGUGACCAUAAUGUGGUGGCUUCUCUCCCUUAGGUGGUUUGCCAACUGGGGUUGGUGGCUUGUUUUCUGGGAGUGGCUUCUCUCCCUUGGGUGGUUUGCCAACUGGGGUUGGUGGCUUGUGUUCUGGGAGUGGCUUCUCCCCCUUGGGAGGUUUUUCGAAUGGGGUGGGUUUGUGUCCUGGUGGUGGCUUCUCUCCCUUGGGAGGUUUACCAAUUGGGGUCGGUGGCUUGUGUUCUGGGAGGGGCUUCUCUCCCUGGGGAGGUUUAGUGGGUGGCUUGUGUUCUGGAGGUGGCUUCUCCACCGGAGGCUUAUGCUCUGGUGGUGGCUUCUCGAAGGGGGGAUGCUCAGGGUAAUCACCAAGUGAGGGGGUGGUGAGAACCACCAUGCCAAGCAACAACACUAGCAAGUAUGUAGUAGACAUCUUUGGGUUUGGACUCAGACAGUGCAAAACUACGAGAAAUCGCUAGCCCUUUAUAGCGGCUCGGACCUAAUACUGACAUAAUAUAAAAUAAAUAUUAUAUUUUAUCAAGAGAGAACAGAGUGUAAUUUUAUCAUUAAUACCGAUCGAGGCCAAAGAAAGAAGACCCAUAAUCCAUUUCCCACAAGCAUACACAAUGCAGCUGUAAUUUUAUCAUUUACUUUUAUCCCUUGGACCACUGCAUUUUUGUUGAGAGACACAAUAACACAUUUUUAUCUGUCAUUCAACAUUUACAGUAAAGAGAGGGCACAAAACGCAAUUAGAUAAAUUAUGUUUUGCCUGCUAAAAAGAGGCAAAUAACUUUAUUUGCAACAUAAUUAUUUUGGUUUCUAGUGACCCCGGGGCCUUUCGGUUGGUUUGGGAUCGGAAAAUGAACAUCAUAGGGGGGGUUGUGCCCUUAUGGGCAUAUAUAUCUGAUAGCUUCAACUGGCCUUGUUCCUAGAAAGAAAUUGCCAAAGAUAUAAACUUAUUCCAGGCUGAAAGUAGAUGAGAGUCAUAAUGAACAUCAACCUUUGUUCAGUUUGAUUCAAUGCCCCCAUAGUGUUCAUUUCACAGAUCUGAAUGAUUAUAUCCGUUGAAUACAUAAAUUAAUGAAGACAAAUAUGAAACCCAAGAUACAUCUCUGCAUAACAACCCCAACCCUGGUUGCUAUGUUUCCCUUCUUCUAUUCACAUGAGGAUACUGGUUAUAAUUGUCAAACUUGCAACAAGCCCUUUGACACCUAACGUCAAUGGACGAAUUAAAAGUCUCCUUCAAACGUCUAUUUCACAGCAUGAAGCUUAUAAAGGAUGCUGACAACCUUCAGAGUUAGCGACAAAAGAUAAUUAUCAAGGAGAGAUAGUUCCAUGAGAAUUCCAAGGAGUCUGAAUCAAAGACAAAUUGCUCACUCAAGGGUUCUUAUUUUCUUUUAGGUACAAAUCUCUUGAGUGUUGUUAAAGAAACACGUCACUGUCAUUUUGAUUUGCAUUUAACAUUUCACUUUUGUUCUGGAAGGUUUGUUCCGGAAACAUAUCAAAUGAGCAUCAUUUUCUUCUUCGGUGACACAUGGUCGCGAGUACGUGGGUCCAUUUUCAUGCCACUUAGUUGAAAAGUUGGAAAGAAAAAACAUGCCAACAAGAAGAUAGUGAGAGAAGGGGCACUUCAAGCCUUUAACAUGAACAAACAGUAAAUAAAAGAUGUUUCUCCACUCAUAAAAGUGUGUUAGAUAGCAAUAUAACGAAUCACAUCCAAAAUCUUUACUAGGCUCAAACAUAAAGAAGACUCAUUUUUAAGAAAAGAUAAAAAUGGCAUUGUCUGAUAGUAUCCAAUACACGAGAUGGCACUUAAUUUGUACAAGAUCUGUCAAUGCUGACGCACAUUUUCUGAUUAAAAAAAAACUGAUCAGUCAAAAGCAAUGAAGAGAAGUGAUGACAAUGAAUGAUGCUUCCAAUAUUUUCACCCCUUAUAGUGUUCUUCAUGAUUCAGAUAUAUAAUUGGAAAUAGAACAACCCUAUGCCAUACAUUCGUCUAAGUAUGGUGUCUAAUUUUUUGUGUCAGCGGUUGCGAAUGGAGCGUGCAAAAGUCCAAAUUGGCGUCUCUCCAUUUCCACAUAGGAAGGUGACCUUUAUUGACAAAUACCCAAUAUUUGUAGACAUUCCUUAAAUAUCAUAACUUCUUGUUGAUUUGAAAAUCAUUUUUCAACUACCAUGUUUUAAUAAAUAUUUUUUAAAAUGUAUUUUUAUCAAAGUCCACCAUGAUGGAUAAUAUUCACCAUGCAAUAAUUAAUAAAGUACAAACUAAGCGAAAUGAAAAGCAUUUUCUUUGCUUUGAGUUGAUUUUGGUUGCAUUGAGUUGAUUUUGGUUUCAUGGUUUUUUCAACUCUUAUUUUGAUUGGAAGAUGUCAAGAAAAGAAAACAUAAAGAAAAAUUAAAAGGGAAAAAAGAAGAAAAAUAAAAAAAAAUAGAUUUAAAAGUUAAUAAAUUAUUUUUUAUAUUUAUUUUAAUUCAUUUCACUUAUUUUUCUUUUACUAUAUAAAAUUUAAAUAAUUUAAAUUUUAUAAUUAAUUUAAUUACAUUUCAUUUUCUUCUAUAUUUAAAUAUUGGAAAAAUAUUUUACUUAAUAUUUUUUUCUUUAAUUUCUUUGGCAUUUUGGGAACCAAACUUAGCCUUUAAAAUAAAAAACAAAAAAAAAAUGAAAAUAAGGAGGGAAAAGUGAGAAAAGAUAAAAACAAUAUGUAAAGGAUUUGAAAAGUAUUAGUUUGUAAUUACUAUUUGGAUUUCAAUAGUAUUUUAUUUGUCUUUCUAUAUUUCAUGUAAGAGAGAAUUUAAGAUAUUCCCCAAGGCAAAGCAUUAGUUACCUGCAAUCAGUGGUGAUAAGGCUCCAAGCCAAUUUUGGGCCCCAUAUCUUAAGACAGUACAAUUUCCAUUUCAACAUUUCUGAUUUCUCAGAUGUUUCACAUACCACAGAAGAACAUUGUUUGUGAAAAUAUGCAUUUAUGUUGGAUUUUGUAUGCUGUGGGGACUGGGGCAAGGAUCAUAUGGAAGAGUGGUUGACUUUUUCUGUACUUUAACGGUUGAAAUAGGAUAAGCACGGGCAUUUGUGAGGCUUAAUUGAUUUUGAAGCCUGAAAUUGCGUUUCUGUCAUUUUGUCAAAAAAAUGGCAGAUUCCAUACUCAUAUGUUUGGCCUGUGGCCAUGUACAGAUGCCAUUUAGUGACCAGUUUGUAACUGUCAAUCGUUGCGUUUUGACUCUGCCUCAACAACAUCUGCCAUUGACGGGUUUUCAUACUUGCAAAUCAAAUAGUCUUUCGUCCCAUCAGGAAUUUCGGUUUAAAUAUUAUUAAGCAUACGUUUGGCUGACAAUCAUUAUCCAGUUCAUGAUUUGGUUUCUUACCCUUAAUCAAUGGUUUCUAAGUGAAUAUAUGUAGAAGGAAAUCCGAAGUGUAGACAGUAGUAUCGAUAACUCUCAAUAUUCUCUAUAUAAUAGAAUAAACAGCGUCAUAGUGAUCGUCGCCUACAAGCAAGGUACAAAUACCAAAACGAGUGACUCACAUAGACAUCUCCCAACAAGAUGUAGUAGUGACUGACACAUGGACACAAUUAACUCGUAGAAAAGGAUAAGACCAUUGCACAGCAGCUCUUAUUUUACAUACUACUUAUGCUAACCAAAGUCAAUUAGUUGGGAUGGGUGGGAGAUGGAGGUUUGUGCGGUGGCUUGUGGGGCGGAGUUGAUGGCUUCUUUCCAGGAGCUUCUGGCUUUUUCAUCGGAGCUGAAGGAGGCUCAAUCUUAUGAGGCGGCUUGUAUGAGUCUUCUUUACUCUCGACAGGAGGGUGGCCAGGGUUGUGAUCAUAAUGUGGUGGCUUCUCUCCCUUAGGUGGCUUGCCAACUGGGGUUGGUGGCUUGUGUUCAGGAAGUGGUUUCUCUCCCAUGGGAGGUUUAGCAAUUGGGGUUGGUGGCUUGUGUUCUGGGAGUGGCUUCUCUCCCUUGGGAGGUUUAGUAGGUGACUUGUGUUCUGGAGGUGGCUUCUCCACCGGAGGCUUGUGCUCCGGUGGUGGCUUCUUGGUUGGAGGGGGCUUGGGGUAAUCAGCAAGAGAUGGGGUGGUGAGAACCACCAGUCCAAGGAACAACACUAGCAAGUAUGUGGGAGACAUUUUUGAGUUUGGGCUGAUCAGAUGAUGCAAAACUAAAGCAUUACGUGACCUUUUAUAGCAUGUAGCUCCCAAUACCCACUAAGUAUUGUGGGGUCCAUUUGUGCCCUACGGGGUUGAAAACUUAGACAAUUGGGCAAGGACCCACCUGACUAUGGAGGACUAGUGAGGUGUGAUCAUAGCUUUAGGAUUUUUCUUCCUCUGCAGCCGUCGUGCCGUUGGCAUGAUUUUCUUAAUCUUAAAUAAAGGCAUAGUUAUAGAGUUGUUUAAUCUCUAAAUGGGAUUUUAUAUAUAUCUUCAGAUAGCCAUUAAUAUAUUUGAUGAAGAAAGAAAGACAAGUGCAUACAACAUGUAUACGACUAGCUUUCAUGGAGUUCAUUUAUGAUCAGUUUUCCUGUACAUGUAAACCAGGAUCAUAUAUAUGUUUCUGUUCCACAACUAUUUUGGAAUCUUGUUUAUCAGUUUUUAUCAUUAUAAUGUCACAUAGGCUGCCAACUUGGGCGCUAAAAGAACCAGUUGGGCUAGUUCGUUUCAGAAUUUCAAUGUGGAUUCAGGAAUUGUUUUGUAAGAUAUGCGAAAUAGUAGAGGGAUGAAUAGUGUUUCAUUAAUAAAAGUGUCCUGUAAAUUAGAAGGUGUCAUAGAAACUAUAAUCAAUAAAUAACUUUUUUUCCCCACGGGUGGUGUUUCUUGUGGGGAUCAGUGACUGGUUUAGGUUCACCCAAAAUGAGUUCAGACUAAAAUUGGUUUGAGUCAAUGCCGUGUCUCUUUUUUCCAGAAAUCAACUAUUUUAUGCAUUGAAUAAAUCAUACAAAGAAAAUAUGAACGCCCGCAAAACCUAAACCCUGGUUGCUAACUUUCUAUGUUUCAGUUCUAUUCACGCAAGAAUAUUAGUUUAAGUUUGGGAAAAAUGGCAACUUACCUAGUGAUUACUUGGUUUUGGUUUGCGACUAUUUACGCAACCAACCAUGAGUUUGACUUUAACGUCAUGGGUUGAAGCCUCCUACAGGAAGGGAGAAAGCUCCACAGCUAGCUCCAAAAGAGAAUUAUCACAUUGAUAGCUCCAGAGAUUCCCAAGGGGACUGAAUCAAAGACAAGUUCCUCACUUUUUCUUCUUUUGAGGCCAAAUAUGAACCAAGGAUCACACAACCUCAUUCAACUUCAUAAGUUUGAUUUCAUGCAGUUGAACACUGGGUGAAGGCCAUGACAAGAAUUGAUUCAAAAAUUCUAUCACUCUUUUAAGUAAUGGAAGAUUAUUAUCUCUGAUUGGCAUCACAACAGCACAUGCUCCUAGAUCUUUCUAGACACUCCAUGCAAUGAAAGCACAAUGGAUCUUGUAACGAUAGAAACUAAGCCAUGCUACAGUACUAGAUGAUGAGGUAAAACUAGUAGACACGGGUGGCAGCCUAUAUGGGAGGGACACAAGUCUAAUUGAUUUGCAUUUCAGCAUUAUAGAUAGGUAUGUUUUGGAAGAUUUGUUCUGGAAAUACCGCACCAAGUAGGAUUCUUUUUCUCUUUAGUGGGUCCACUUGCAUGCCAAUUAACGAGUUGAAAAGUAUGAGCACCUACCUCGUGCUCGUGGAACCGAAGGUCAGUGAAGUGGGGCUCCUUUUGGCCUCGUGUAAACUUGAUUCAGAAGUGAAGUUAAUAGUCUUCCAUUCAGAUGGAUACAUGGGAAUUUUUCUCUUUUAUUUAUUUAUUUAUUUUUUUUUUGUGUGUGUAUGUCAAAGGAUAAUGAAUGAAGCGCGUUAGCUUGUUUUCUGACUGGAACCGCAGAUGUCCAAAUUGGAGUUCCUUCAUUUCUUACUUAGGAUUGUUACAUGUAUAAACAAGGUAUAAGAAAUAUGCCAACGUGUCUUGAGGAGUUAUUGAUUAGAAAUAACAAGUCACCCGACUGUAGAGUUCCAAGAUUUGAAUCUUCAGACCCUAUAGCAGCCUCUGGGGUACGUGGCAUCCUAUAGCAUAUUAAUGAAGGCUUUUUCGAUUUAGACUUCACAAUACCAAUUAAUAUGUAUGCACAAAAUGGAGAUGACCCCAAAAAAAACAGAAUCGCCAUAGUUUAUGAGGUUAAGGUGAUUCUCCACUUAAUAUCUACAUUAGCUAAUUAUGUAAAUCAAAUGAACUUCUAUUUUUCCUUUUUUUUUUUGGUUUAUGUCAAAUAGUAGCCCAUAAUUAACCCAACCAUUAGCCUGUUUGAAUUGAUUUCACAUGCACAAUGUUGUAGUAGUUCAUAUUUUGAAUUUUAUUUUUACAAAGGUAGUUAAGGAAAAUGAAGUAUAAUAAUUAUAAAAGCAGACUAUAUACACUACAAUAAUUGUUAGAAUGGUAUCUCAAAUUCUAAUUUAAAAUAUUAUUUUUUGUAAAAGAAAUAUUAUAUAGAAUAUUUCCUAAUUUUAUAAAUGAUUAUAAUUAGAUCUUUAUAAAAUAAGGAAAGUUGGUAAGAAUAUCUUUAUAAAUAUUUUAGGUCAUGAGAGAAAGAAAUGGGAUAAAAAUGUGAUGAAGAGGUGAAAUAAGAGAGUUGAUUAGGAUAUAGAUGUGAAGAAGAAAGGGAUUCAAUAUAUAUAUAUCUUUCAAUUACCACAUUAAAACCCUGUGAACCUUUUAUAUGGUUUACUUUAUUUUUAUAUUCCUCCUUUAAUAUAUUUACAUUAAUGCUUCCAUUGGCACAACAAUAACGAAUUACAAAUACAAGCAACAAGUCCCAUGUUUUAUUACCAAAAGCAGGUAAAAUCCACCUAAUAUAUUACAAUAUAUUCAUCCAAUAUUUUAGACCAAUUCUUCACCAUAAAUAUCAUAAUGUGGCUUUUGUUCUUUCUUAAAUUUAAAUUGAAUUGUCUUAUAUCAAUUUGUUUGUGAUUUUUUCAUUAACUUCACUUUCAUUUGGUUAUCUUUGGUUUUUGAAAAGUAUUAAGGAAUUAAUUAACAAAAUAAUGUUAAGAAAAAUAAUUUUCUCUCUUUUGAUUUUGAUUUUGUAGUAGAAAAAUAUAAUUAAAAUUAUUUAAAAAGUAUGUAAUUUUAAAUUAUUUAAUAUUUAGAUAAAAAAAAUAAGUCUAAUGAGUUUAAAAUAACAUAUAAAAAUAAUUUAUUUAUUUUAAAUUUAUUUUUUAUUUUCCAUUAUGUUCUCUUUCUCUUUUACUUUUUCAUAUUUUUUCUUACGAAGAAUCAAACACAACCUCAUAUUAUAUGUCAAGUGUUUGUCUAUAUUUGAGCAAUGUUAGAUACGGCCAUGGAUUCAUCAAACUAAACUGAUUUUAAUAGAUACUUCACAAAUUGAUUUAUACACUAAAUCAUUGGAUAGCAAUGAUGCAUUGGAAUUAAACGUAGGAUGAAGCUCGAAGAACACUGUUUGUGUAACAACAUAUUUAUGAAAUUAUGCAAAGGAUGAGCUUCGGGGUAGUAGUACAAGGUCAUUAAUGGAGAGCCGUGUUAAACCUUGAUUGUGAUUGGAUUCCGUUAUCAGCAACAGCAACCUUGUUUGUAACCUUGAAAGUCAUUCUGUCCACAUCGAAACUCCAAUUUGACGUUUGUAAUUACCAUUCCUGGAGUGUUCCUUGAUUGAAAUUUAAAUAAUAAUUGCGGCCCACAAGGAAUAUUUUCGAUUCUGUGGGAAUUUGACAAGGUUUGUUAGAGAAGACUGGUGACAUGUUGACUUCAAUGGUUCAAAUAGGAGACGUAUGUGGAUUUGGGGGGUUUAAUUGAAACUGAGUCCCUAUGGCUUUUUAAUAUUUGCAUUGAGCAGUCUCCAUGUGACUUCCUAAUUCCCACCAACCCUCCUGUCCAUGCUGUGAAACUAAAUUGUAAUUUAUCAGCCUUUGUCAAUGGUUUCUAAAUUAAAGAUAUAGACCAUGCAUGUACUUUAAUAAAAGCAAAUCUAAAGUGUAGAUAGCAGCAAUGGUGACACCCAAUAUUCUCCAUAAAAUAGAAUUAGAAUAAGCAGUGUUACAUUGUUCAUGAUCACCUACAAGCAUACAAGAACUUCCAUGAAUAACUCAUAGCAAUUGCCAACAGGGCGUCGUAGAGACUCAUACAUAGAACACUAUCCACCCAGAGGAAAGGACAAGACCAGUGCGCUGCAGCUCUUAUUUUUCACAUGUAUACCACCACUCGUAAUAACCAAAUUCACUCAGUUGGGAUAGGUGGGAGAUGGUGGUUUGUGGGGUGGCUUGUGGGGAGGAGUUGGAGGAGGCUUUAUUUUCUGAGGCGGCUUGUAUGAGUGUGCAGGAGGAUGCCCGGGAGUGUGACCAUAAUGUGGUGGCUUCUCUCCCGUAGGUGGUUUGCCAAAUGGGCUUGGUGGCUUCUCUCCCUUAGGAGGUUUACCAAUUGGGGUUGGUGGCUUGUGUUCUGGGAGUGGUUUCUCUCCCUUGGUAGGUUUGCCAAUUGGGGUUGGCGGCUUAUGUUCUGGGAGUGGCUUCUCUCCCUUGGGAGGUUUGCUAAUUGGGGUUGGCGGCUUAUGUUCUGGGGGCGGCUUCUCUCCCUUGGGAGGUUUGCCAAUUGGAGUUGGCGGCUUAUGUUCUGGGAGUGGCUUUUCUCCCUUGGGAGGCUUGCCAAUUGGGGUUGGCGGCUUAUGUUCUGGGGGUGGCUUCUCUCCUUUAGGAGGUUUGCCAAUUGGAGUCGGCGGCUUAUGUUCUGGAAGUGGCUUUUUUCCCUUGGGAGGUUUGCCAAUUGGGGUUGGCGGCUUAUGUUCUGGGGGUGGCUUCUCUCCCUUGGGAGGUUUGCCAAUUGGAGUCGGCGGCUUAUGUUCUGGGAGUGGCUUCUCUCCCUUGGGAGGUUUUGUUGGUGGCUUGUGUUCUGGAGAUGGCUUCUCCCCUGGAGGCUUGUGCUCCGGAGGUGGCUUCUGAAAUGGCGGGGGCUUGGGGUAAUGAGCAAGAGAUGGAGUACUGGUGAGAACCACCAUUCCAAGCAACAAUACUAGCAA